AUAUAUAUAAACGAGGAGUAGGAAACUAUCGGAAGGAAACGCAAGUUCUGUCCCCAAGAUCGUUGAGAUUGCCACGGGGGCUCGUUUUCUCGGUAGAAGCCGCCAACAACGCUGCUUGCAUCAGAGCAGCCGGUUGGAAGAUUAGAAUGCACCGUGCAUUCGCUUUUCGAACGACUUGCACGCGCGUUGCCAUCACCACGAACAGAGCCACGAGCAGAGUCCCCGACGAGCCUCAGGAUCACUCUCGGUUUCUCGUUGUUCGAACAACGUUCUGGAUGAGAGCUUCG
rnacentral:misc_RNA from 1 species